rnacentral:rRNA from 1 species
CGGAAUUGAUAAGCGCUGAAAGCAUCUAAGCGCGAAGCGAGCCCUGAGAUGAGUCUUCCCUGACAGUUUAACUGUCCUAAAGGGUUGUUCGAGACUAGAACGUUGAUAGGCAGGGUGUGUAAGCGUUGUGAGGCGUUGAGCUAACCUGUACUAAUUGCCCGUGAGGCUUAACCAUACAACACCCAAGGGGUUUUGUA